CUACGAAAGGUGCAAGCGUUGUUCGGAUUUACUGGGCGUAAAGAGAGUGUAGGUUGUUUAUUAAGUCGGAUGUGAAAUCCCGGGGCUCAACCUCGGAACUGCAUUCGAUACUGGUAGACUAGAGUUCGGGAGGGGUAAGCGGAAUUCCGUGUGUAGCAGUGAAAUGCGUAGAUAUACAGAGGAACACCUGAGGCGAAGGCGGCUUACUGGACCGAUACUGACACUGAGACUCGAAAGCGUGGGUAGCAAACAGGAUUAGAAACCCCGGUAGUCC
rnacentral:rRNA from 1 species